ACUCCUACGGGAGGCAGCAGUAGGAAUAUUGGGCAAUGGAGGCAAACUCUGACCCAGCCAUGCCGCGUGCAGGAAGACGGUCCUCUGGAUUGUAAACUGCUUUGAAUGGGAAGAACCUGUCCUUGCGAGGGCAGCUGACGGUACCAUUAGAAUAAGCCACGGCUAACUACGUGCCAGCAGCCGCGGUAAUACGUAGGUGGCGAGCGUUAUCCGGAUUUAUUGGGUUUAAAGGGUCCGUAGGCGGGCCGGUAAGUCAGGGUGGAAGAUCUGUAGCUCAACUAUAGAACUGCCUUUGAUACUGCCGGUCUUGAGUCACGGUGAAGUUGCCGGAAUAUGUGGUGUAGCGGUGAAAUGCAUAGAUAUCACAUAGAACACCGAUUGCGAAGGCAGGUGACUAACCGUGUACUGACGCUGAUGGACGAAAGCGUGGGGAGCGACAGGAUUAGAUACCCUGGUAGGUCAGU
rnacentral:rRNA from 1 species